rnacentral:rRNA from 1 species
CCUACGGGAGGCAGCAGUGGGGGAUAUUGCACAAUGGGGGAAACCCUGAUGCAGCGACGCCGCGUGGGCGAAGAAGUAUUUCGGUAUGUAAAGCCCUAUCAGCAGGGAAGAAAAAAUGACGGUACCGGAGUAAGAACCACCGGCUAAAUACGUGCCGGCAGCCGCGGUAAUACGUAUGGGGCAAGCGUUAUCCGGAUUAACUGGGUGAAAAGGGAGCGAAGGCGGCACGGCAAGCAUGAGGUGAAAGCCCACGGCCCAACCGCGGGACUGCAUUGGGAACUACCGGGCUGGAGUGCCGGAGAGGUAGGCGGAAUUCCUAGUGUAGCGGUGAAAUGCGUAGAUAUUAGGAGGAACACCAGUGGCGAAGGCGGCCUACUGGACGGUGACUGACGCUGAGGCUCGAAAGCGUGGGGAGCAAACAGGAUUAGAUACCCGGGUAGUC